rnacentral:rRNA from 1 species
AACCGAGAUUCCCCCAGUAGCGGCGAGCGAACGGGGAACAGCCCAGAGUCUGAAUCAGCAUGUGUGUUAGUGGAACGGUCUGGAAAGUCCGACGGUACAGGGUGAUAGUCCCGUACACAAAAAUGCAUAUGUUGUGAACUCGAAGAGUAGGGCGGGACACGUGGUAUCCUGUCUGAAUAUGGGGGGACCAUCCUCCAAGGCUAAAUACUCCUGACUGACCGAUAGUGAACCAGUACCGUGAGGGAAAGGCGAAAA